rnacentral:rRNA from 1 species
CCAGAGAACUUUCCAGAGAUGGAUUGGUGCCUUCGGGAACUCUGAGACAGGUGCUGCAUGGCUGUCGUCAGCUCGUGUUGUGAAAUGUUGGGUUAAGUCCCGCAACGAGCGCAACCCUUAUCCUUUGUUGCCAGCGGUUAGGCCGGGAACUCAAAGGAGACUGCCAGUGAUAAACUGGAGGAAGGUGGGGAUGACGUCAAGUCAUCAUGGCCCUUACGAGUAGGGCUACACACGUGCUACAAUGGCGCAUACAAAGAGAAGCGACCUCGCGAGAGCAAGCGGACCUCAUAAAGUGCGUCGUAGUCCGGAUUGGAGUCUGCAACUCGACUCCAUGAAGUCGGAAUCGCUAGUAAUCGUGGAUCAGAAUGCCACGGUGAAUACGUUCCCGGGCCUUGUACACACCGCCCGUCACACCAUGGGAGUGGGUUGCAAAAGAAGUAGGUAGCUUAACCUUCGGGAGGGUGCUUACCACUUUGUGAUUCAUGACUGGGGUGAAGUCGUAACAAGGUAAGCGUAGUGCU